UCUAUUUUGACAUGCACUUGGCUUAACUAG
rnacentral:piRNA from 1 species